UUGGAGGGCAAGUCUGGUGCCAGCAGCCGCGGUAAUUUCAGCUCCAAUAGCGUAUAUUAAAGUUGUUGCAGUUAAAAAGCUCGUAGUUGAAUUUCGGGAUCAAAUUGUCGGUCGUGCCUCGGUACGCACUGGUAUUAUUGGUUCCUACCUUCUGAAGAACCGCGAUGUCAUUAAUUUGGUGUCGUGGGGAAUCAGGACUGUUACUUUGAAAAAAUUAGAGUGUUUAAAGCAGGCUUACGCUUGAAUACAUUAGCAUGGAAUAAUGAAAUAGGACGUUUGAUUCUACUUUGUUGGUUUCUAGGAUUGACGUAAUGAUUAAUAGGGAUAGUUGGGGGCAUUAGUAUUCAAUUGUCAGAGGUGAAAUUCUUGGAUUUAUUGAAGACUAACUACUGCGAAAGCAUUUGCCAAGGAUGUUUUCAUUAAUCAAGAACGAAAGUUAGGGGAUCGAAGACGAUCAGAUACCGUCGUAGUCUUAACCAUAAACUAUGCCGACUAGGGAUCGGAUGAUGUUAAUUUUUUAAUGACUCAUUCGGCGCCUUACGGGAAAC
rnacentral:rRNA from 1 species